rnacentral:rRNA from 1 species
GAUGAACGCUGGCGGCGUGCCUAAUACAUGCAAGUCGAGCGAACAGACGAGGAGCUUGCUCCUUCGACGUUAGCGGCGGACGGGUGAGUAACACGUAGGUAACCUACCUAUAAGACUGGGAUAACUUCGGGAAACCGGAGCUAAUACCGGAUAAUAUUUCGAACCGCAUGGUUCGAUAGUGAAAGAUGGCUUUGCUAUCACUUAUAGAUGGACCUGCGCCGGAUUAGCUAGUUGGUAAGGUAACGGCUUACCAAGGCAACGAUACGUAGCCGACCUGAGAGGGUGAUCGGCCACACUGGAACUGAGACACGGUCCAGACUCCUACGGGAGGCAGCAGUAGGGAAUCUUCCGCAAUGGGCGAAAGCCUGACGGAGCAACGCCGCGUGAGUGAUGAAGGUCUUCGGAUCGUAAAACUCUGUUAUUAGGGAAGAACAAAAGUGUAAGUAACUGUGCACGUCUUGACGGUACCUAAUCAGAAAGCCACGGCUAACUACGUG